rnacentral:tRNA from 1 species
GCUGAGGUAGCCAAGCUCGGACCACGGCGCCAGCCUUGAGAGCUGGUGGGGCAUCCGCCCCCCGAGGGUUCAAAUCCCUCCCUCAGCG